UCGGAUCGUCCCUGUCACUGAUACAUCGUAAGCCAAACUCUCUUUUGCUCAGGGGGGCAAUUGCACAGAAAUCGAACUAGAGCGAGGGAGCAAGCUGUGCAGACGUUCCAGGCGAAGAGAGAUUUUUCACUUAUUCACCCUGUCUAGUUCUUGAAACAUGAUGUUUUGAGCUGUUUGCUUCUGGAAACACAGGGAUCAAAGGAAACAGGGGACCACAUGGAGUCCGUCCUCUGAGAGAUGACGGGAGGUGUGCAGCCCACAGUGAUGGGAGUUUCACACAACAGCUGGGAAUCUCCCCUCCUCCCUGUGGCCCGAAGGAUGCUGCACCAGGAUUUGGAAAAUCUAGAAUUGAAUUGUGUCUCUUUGGUUGAGAAAUGAAGGAAGAGCUAAGUGCUCCCAGGAAGCUAAUCAGGGGAAGAGCCAUAGGGGAAGCUUCUUCAGCGGGACCUUUUGCAUCUUACCUUCGACACAAGUGUAUCAUCCACUGGCCGUGAAGCCUUGUUU